GAAGAUUGCUGGAGCCCGGGAGUUCAAGGCUGCAGUGAGCUAUGAUCAGGCCACUGCACUCCAGUUUGAGGGACAGAGAGAGAUCCCAUCUCCCUAAAGAACAAAAAAGUGUGCUCUGGUGCCACACUGCCUGGUUAGAUCCUUUGUCCACCACUUAGAUGCAUGUUAUAUAAAUGCUGUCUUCAAUUUCCUCAUCUGUAACUUGGGGAUGAUAAUGCUGUCCCAUGAAGUGGUUGUGGGGACUAAAUGUACGUGGGCACAUUGGUAAGUAUUCAACAAGCUUGAUUUUUCCUGGAGAGGGAGAAAGAGCAUACAGUGAAGUGGCAUGGUCAGGUGCAUUGGGGCAAGGAUUAUUUCCUCUGGCUUCUGCCUCCUGGGAGGUACUAAGGAUGGAUCUGAAAUGUGUCUGCAGACCCCAGAGUUGGGGACUGCAGAGGGAAAUUGAGAUCAGGGACCCCAGUCUGGCAGAAAUGGGUGCAGCAUGGGGCAUUGGGUUCCUUCCAUCAGAGGCAUGGGGUGUGUUGCAGACAGUCAUGAGAUGUGGCUGAAUCUUGCAAGGGAGCCACUGUCCUAGGGUUGCUGCUUGAGACAAAGACCACUGUCAGUGGAACCUGGUGACCUUCACCCUUCUGUGUCAGGCUGCAGACAGCAAGAGAUGGCAGCAGAUUACACCCAACAGGAAAAGGGCCAUUGCUAUCCCACAGGUUGCCAUAGGAGGGGAUGAUAUCUCUUCCCUCUCCUCCUCCAGCAGUGUCAGCUGGGGAAGAGGUGGGUUGGUGUGCACAAAAGAGUAGACCGCAGACCAUGCUGCUUCUCCUCCAGUCUGCUGGGGCCCCAAGAGAGUCUGCAGCCCUUGGCCAGGGACCGGCUGACACAGGAGAACAAAAGAUCUCAGGCUGGGAUAACAUGGUGGUGCAGUUCAUCCUCUGGAGCUCCCUGUGAGAUCAGACUGGAGCCAGUCUCCAGCUGAGACCACAUCUCACUUAGCUCCUUCCCUGCCAUAUCCUGUUUUCCUUACUCCUAUCUCCUGAGAGUCCUGAAUGAAUUACAUGCACUCAAUCCGUGCCUCAGGCUCUGUUUUUCGGGAACUUGACCUAAGACAGAUAUCUUAGUACUAAAUACUUUGCAAGGCUUCAGAAGCUCUGCUAUCCACAGGCAGGUGAGAUAUUACCUUCCCUACCACCUGGCAGUCAUAGUCUAUGAUGCAACUCAGCUUUGUGGAAGUGCUUCUCUAAAGAACUUCCCCCAAUUUAAGAUGAUCUUAAUUUGCUUACUUGUUUACUGUCCAUUCAGCUGCUCUAAAAUGUGAGCUCCAAAUCAGGGACCAUGUCUGGUUGGUUACCCAUUUCCUGGGACCUAGAACGGGCCUAGCUCAGAGCAGGUGCUCACUAUUGAUGGAAUGCAUGUUGAAAGAAUGCAUGAAUCUCAUCUCCUUUUGUGGGUGAAAAUCUCAUCCUAUUCUCACUCCUGAUUAACUUUCUUUCUUUUUUUUUUUUCAAAACGGAGCCCUGAUCUGUCACCCAGGCUGGAGUGCAAUGGUGCCAUCUCAGCUCGCUGCAACCUCUGCCUUCUGGAUUAAAGCAAUUCUCCUGCCUCAGCCUCCCGGGUAGCUGGGAUUACAGGUGCACACCACCACGCCCGGCUAAUUUUUUGUAUUUUUAAUAGAGACAGGGUUUUGCCAUGUUGGCCAGGCUGGUCUCAAACCCCUGACCCUGUGAUCUGCCCGAUUUGGCCUCCCAAAGUCCUGGGAUUACAAACAUGAGCCACCGUACCCAGCCACUCUUGAUUAACUUAAUGGAAAUAUUUAGAGAUUCUUUCUUUUCUGGGUUCUAGAGUCUUCUCUGUAACCUCUGCAGGUAAUACAUUUUCCUUCCUGAUAAAGCAUUUCUAUGGUUGCUUUCACUUGCAAAUCCUCUAAUACUUAUUUAUUCCAUUUCUGAUUGGCAUUAGACAUAAUUCUCAAUUUUUAGUGACAGCACUUUUGUUAACUUACAUAUAAAUCGACUUUGCCUUGAAAUGUGACAUUGACUAGAAGGACGACACUUCUAACAUGUUGUAGAACAUAGUUUGACUGGCUAAUUUAUUAUUUAGAAGAAGCUAAUAUUGCCAUUAUGAGGGACUUAGGUGGCUCUGAAGAACAAGUUGUAUUUCUGAUGUUUGCAAUGUUAAAUCACAGAUAUUGCCAAUGUGAAAUAGUUUCCGUAUGCUGUGUUCUCAAUACACACCUUUUCCAAGGAUAUCCCAAGCUGUAGUCUUAGGAAACUGUGAUUUUUCUUAUUUGGUCUCAUAGGAAUUUGGGGAGCUAUGCGGGAUCUCCAUAAAAUGAGCUCCAGAAAGACACAUGUGUGCGCGCACACACACACACACACACACACACACUCACACAUGUACCGCACCACAAUUGAAUCUGUUUAUUUGGGACCCAUGAUUAUUUUCAACAAACACUUCUGAGAAAUAAUCUGAACACUUAAUUGGAUGCAAAAGAGUGAGUAUUUACUAUUCUACCCUUUAAUUAGCAUAAUCAAUGUUUCCAGCAGCAAAAGCAAUUGGAAAAUCGCUAGUUUUAUUAGGUUCAUUAUUCUCCCUUAGCGUAGUGUGGCAUCAGCAUGGCUAUUAUUCUUAAAUUGCCUCCUUAAAACAAGGGCUGGUGCUUCUUACAGGCCAUUCCUAACUCUUGGGUUUUGUAGAGAGUCCAAAACUCUUUAGAACCUAUAAUUCAAGGAAAGGCUCCACUUUGGUUUUGCAUUUUGUCUGGUCUCUUUGGCUGACAGAAUUUAUGUCAAAAGGUGCACAUGUUUGUGGGAGGCUCAUGGACAGCCCAUCACGUUUGUGCUUUGGUAGGAAGUACGUGCCAUUAAGGGGAAGGAGUUAGUUACUGAUUCUAGGGAACAAUUGGGUAGAAAGAGAUGGACUCCCUGUGUUUGAAAUUCAGAACUCAAGCUUGGCUCUAAGUGUUUCCUUGCUUUGCUGUGCUCCAGGGGAGUCCUUGAGCAGAAGGAAGCAAGUUGCCUGAGAUUCUUCAAAGCCCGCAGCCCUUUUGGAGGUUAGAUGGUUAUUCUCAGAGCCUUUAUGAUGCAUAAUAAAGACCUAGCUUGGACCAAUAUUAGGAUGAGUUAUCUUGCUAUUAACAUUCUUUUAGGUAGAAGUUGCUGGUCCCAUCUUGCUCACAAUCCUCCAAAGUUUGAAAGUUAUUUUCCAGGAGACUUGGCUUGCACUGAGAGCUGCCCUCCCACCCUCUCUCCAAAUUUCCUCUUGGGGGUAGCCUAACAAGGUGCUGUCACAGACCCUUGUCGGCCACGAUGACCCCACCCAGACCAUCCCUCUGCUGUUUCACUCUUUGAUAGUCUCUGGAGCUCUCUGGGGAGGGGUGAGACCUGCCGUCUAGUUUGUAUGGUUUGCCCAGGUCUUACAGUCAUGGCUGGCUGCCUCUCUCUGAGAACUAGAACUCCUGAACUUGGUGAAAGACCUCAGCCAUCGAUCAUGUUGAAUUAUCGGGGACACUCAUUUGAAAUCCGAGCCUGUUCCAGAUAGACUCUCUCUCUUUCUGCCCUGACCGUGAGAGAAGCCCUGCUGGACGGUGGAGACACUCGUGGGCUGUGAGCAAGGGAUGCAAAGGCUGCCGGGAAUCCCAUCUUUCCAGCAUCAUCUGCCAAGGCACAUUAGUUCCUGGGUAUCUGGAUGGGUUCUAGCAGCAUUACUGUCAUUGAAGGAAAAAUUUUAGCCAUAUUAAAGGUUAAUGCAGCAAUCUCCACAUAGGCUGCCUGGAAGGGAAGCAGGACAAGGUUAGGUUUUCCUUGUGAUGGACAGGAGGCAGGCGGCCCUCCCACAGCCCUGCCUGGCAAUACAGAUGUGUCCCCAAAAGGCACUGGGGGCCAGCUGGAGUGCUAUGCCGAGGCGGACUGACCCGGGCCGUGGGUUCACUCUGCUGGCAGCGGUUUCCCGCCAGCUCCUUGCAGAGUUGGCAGAUGGCCCAGCCCCACAGCAGGAGCCGGGAAUGGCAGAACGAGACACAACAAUUUGAUAUCCACUUGCCAGAUGAGCCGGGUGUCAUCAGUCGCCUGGCUCUAUGCCCAACCUCUUUUUGCAUAAACACUUAUGGAUUCAGCCAAGAGGAAAAGCACUCUGAUUAUGAAUUGAGCAGAAGGAAACAAAGUUCUGCAGAUAAACACCAAUGAAACAAAAAACCACGAAUAAGAAAAAUGACAGAAAAGGAGAACCUUCCCAGAAUCCUCCUGCCAGUGAACGGUCACCAGAGCAAGAGCAUGGAGUCCCUGGGUUUUGAACUGUGAGAUAAGGAAGAUGAUGAAAACCUCCCUAGCAGCCAGCCAGGUACUAUUCUAGAUUGUCUUGUGAUAUUUACAAUCUAGGAGAAGGCAGGAGAGAGAACUAAGAACAGAGAGCAUGUUCUGAGAUGUCUGCUGUGUUUGCAGAAACUCCUGGAGGGCAGAGCCAUGCCUGCCAUUUUCAUCAUUGCAUUACCACCACCCAGCACAGUGCCUGGUACAAAAGAGUUGCUCAAUAAAUAAAUCAGGAUGAAUGGACAAAUACACGGAUAGGCACUUUGAACUACAGAUGAGCUUAAAUACUUUGUGUUUUUCUUAGUCAAACAUGUGCAAUUAAGCAUGUGAUAAAUUAUAUGAUGACCACACCUGUGUCUUGCCUGAUGUUCUUUGCAAUCACUAAACAAAGUCAAUUUUGCCUGUUUUGACAGUUCUGUUUUCAACCUAAUGAUCCGUUUCUUUUAACUUCUGGCUGUUGGCUUUGUUUGGGUUUGUUAGCCUGACAAAGUGGCAGAUAUUGGUAUUUGCUCUUUUGUUUAAAUGUCACGAACUUUAAAAAUGCCUUUGCUUUUGGUAAGAAACCCUAGUUAGGACAGUCUAGUGGUCAGGAUGAUUUGGGUUCUGAUGCAGUAACAACAACCCCCAAAUCUCAGUGGCUCCAUGCGGUGAGGUAUUUGUUAGUUUUUGAGACAGGGUCUCACUCUGUCACCCAGACUAGAGUGCAGUGGUGCAAUCUCAGCUCACUGCCACCUCUGCCUCCCAGACUCAAGUGAUUCUCUGCCUCCUGAGUGGCUGGGAUUACAGGCCCGUGCCACUACUGUCUGGCUAAUUUUUUUACUUAGUAGAGACAGGAUUUCACCAUGUUAGCCAGGCUGGUCUUGAACUCCUGACCUCAAAUGAUCCACCUGCCUUGGCCUCCCAAAGUGCUGGGAUGACAGGUGUGAGCCACCAUGUCUGGCCACAAUGAGGCUUAUUCUUGGUCAUGUUGCAUGUCUGGGCUGUGUUAGGGCAUUGUGGGGUGGUCUGUUCAUUGUGUUCACUCAGGGAUCCAGGCUGACAAAAGCCCCAUCUCUGCAUGUGUCCUUGAUCACCACUUCAGGGGAAAGGGAAUGUGCUGGAUCACAGAGCCUCUUAACACUUCCACCUGGAGGUGACUCAAGUUGCUCCUGCUCAUGGUUCAUCGGACAAAACGGAUCACAGAGUCAUGGGCAACUUCUCUGUGCCUGGAAGGGGAACCAAAAUAUGAAUAGCUACAUUGAUUUUCCCUAGCUAUUACACAGAAGGCCUCAUUUAAACACAGUUACUUAUUUGUGUUUUGAAGCUAAUUGUAGUCCAUCAACCUUCACAGAAGAUAUGUGCACUUCUAAGCUAUUAUUAAGCACAGUUUUUUUUUUCUUUUGAGACAGAGUCUCACUCUCUUGCCCAGACUGGUGUGCAGUGGCAUGAUCAUGGAUCACUGCAACUUCUGCCUCCUGGGUUCAAGUGAUUUUCAUGCCUCAGCCUCCCAAAGUGCUGGGAUUACAGACACCCACCACUGCACCUGGCUAAGUUUUGUAUUUUUAGUAGAGAUGGGGUUUCACCAUGUUGGCUUGGCUGGUCUGGAACUCCUGACCUCAGGUUAUCCACCUGCCUUGGCCUCCCAAAGUGCUGAGAUGACAGGCGUGAGCCACCGCACCCGGCCUUGAGUAUGAUUUUUGAUUGGGAACGUCAGAGUUACGGUUUUAGUCUGAGGACAGUAUGACGUGAAGGUGAAAAGUAGAGCUUGGCUGUGAGUUUGCUGGGAUUCCUGUGCUACUUCUACAGUUCUUCGGCUGUGUGACCAUCACCUUUG
rnacentral:lncRNA from 10 species